GUCAGGGGCUAUUUUCCCCAUUCUCCACAUUUUCCCCCUUUUUCCUUCCUCUUUGGCAUUCAUUUUUAUUGGCUGCCUUGUUUUGUACCCUGUGCCCAUGGUCCUCAGUUUAAAGAAGCUGGGAUUCUUUCCCCUCAUUUCCUUUUGUGAAGAGGUGCGUGCUGGGAAUAUCUAUGGCCACUCAUAUCAGAGAAAUACCCAGUAUUACAACACCUGAUCUUUGAGAUAAAGGCUUUUGUAGACGGAAGGUCAUUAGUCAGAGCUACAUGGAGCCUCUAAGUCAAUCUGAAUGAGGAAUUACAAAUACCGGACACACAUUGUAUGGCAAUGGGUCACCACCUCUUUUUCCCCUAAUUGAU